rnacentral:rRNA from 1 species
AGAGUUUGAUCCUGGCUCAGGAUGAACGCUGGCGGCGUGCCUAAUACAUGCAAGUCGAGCGAAUGGAUUGAGAGCUUGCUCUCAAGAAGUUAGCGGCGGACGGGUGAGUAACACGUGGGUAACCUGCCCAUAAGACUGGGAUAACUCCGGGAAACCGGGGCUAAUACCGGAUAAUAUUUUGAACUGCAUGGUUCGAAAUUGAAAGGCGGCUUCGGCUGUCACUUAUGGAUGGACCCGCGUCGCAUUAGCUAGUUGGUGAGGUAACGGCUCACCAAGGCAACGAUGCGUAGCCGACCUGAGAGGGUGAUCGGCCACACUGGGACUGAGACACGGCCCAGACUCCUACGGGAGGCAGCAGUAGGGAAUCUUCCGCAAUGGACGAAAGUCUGACGGAGCAACGCCGCGUGAGUGAUGAAGGCUUUCGGGUCGUAAAACUCUGUUGUUAGGGAAGAACAAGUGCUAGUUGAAUAAGCUGGCACCUUGACGGUACCUAACCAGAAAGCCACGGCUAACUACGUGCCAGCAGCCGCGGUAAUACGUAGGUGGCAAGCGUUAUCCGGAAUUAUUGGGCGUAAAGCGCGCGCAGGUGGUUUCUUAAGUCUGAUGUGAAAGCCCACGGCUCAACCGUGGAGGGUCAUUGGAAACUGGGGAACUUGAGUGCAGAAGAGGAGAGUGGAAUUCCACGUGUAGCGGUGAAAUGCGUAGAGAUGUGGAGGAACACCAGUGGCGAAGGCGACUCUCUGGUCUGUAACUGACGCUGAGGCGCGAAAGCAUGGGGAGCGAACAGGAUUAGAUACCCUGGUAGU